UACGAAGGGGGCUAGCGUUGUUCGGAUUUACUGGGCGUAAAGCGCACGUAGGCGGAUCGAUCAGUCAGGGGUGAAAUCCCAGAGCUCAACUCUGGAACUGCCUUUGUUACUGUCGAUCUGGAGUAUGGAAGAGGUGAGUGGAAUUCCGAGUGUAGAGGUGAAAUUCGUAGAUAUUCGGAGGAACACCAGUGGCGAAGGCGGCUCACUGGUCCAUUACUGACGCUGAGGUGCGAAAGCGUGGGGAGCAAACAGG
rnacentral:rRNA from 1 species